rnacentral:rRNA from 1 species
UUUCAAAGGAAUUGACGGGGACCCGCACAAGCGGUGGAGCAUGUGGUUUAAUUCGAAGCAACGCCAAGAACCUUACCAGGUCUUGACAUCCUUUGACCAUCCUAGAGAUAGGAUUUUCCCUUCGGGGACAAAGUGACAGGUGGUGCAUGGUUGUCGUCAGCUCGUGUCGUGAGAUGUUGGGUUAAGUCCCGCAACGAGCGCAACCCUUAUUGUUAGUUGCCAUCAUUCAGUUGGGCACUGGGGGGAGACUGCCGCAGACAAUGCGGAGGAAGGUGGGGAUGACGUCAAAUCAUCAUGCCCCUUAUGACCUGGGCUACACACCCGCUACAAUGGAGAGUACAACGAGUCGCAAAGCCGCGAGGCUAAGCCAAUCUCCUAAAGCUCUUCUCAGGAAAAGGAUUGUAGGCUGCAACUCGCCUACAGAAGCCGGAAUCGCUAGAAUUCGCGAAGCCCGU